rnacentral:tRNA from 1 species
AUAAAUAUAGCUUAAAUAAAGCGUCGAUUUUGUAAGUCGGAGACGCAAAUGCUAUUUAUA